rnacentral:rRNA from 1 species
UACGUAGGUGGCAAGCGUUAUCCGGAAUUACUGGGCGUAAAGCGCACGCAGGUGGUUUGCUAAGAUUGACGUGAAAGCGCCUGGCUUAACUGGGCGAGGUCGUUGAUGACUGGCAGACUUGAGGCGAGGAGAGGGGUGUAGAAUUCCCGGUGUAGUGGUGGAAUGCGUAGAUAUCGGGAGGAACACCAGUGGCGAAGGCGACUACCUGGCCUGUUCUUGACGCUGAGGCGCGAAAGCUAGGGGAGCAAACGGG